CAGUCGCCGCGGUAAUACAGAGGAUGCAAGCGUUAUCCGGAAUGACUGGGUGUAAAGCGUCUGUAGGUGGCUUUUCAAGUCCGCCAUCAAAUCCCCGGGCUCAACCCUGGACAGGCAGUGGAAACUACCAAACUGGAGUACGGUAGGGGCAGAGGGAAUUUCCGGUGGAGAGGUGAAAUGCGUUGAAAUUGGAAAGAACACCAACGGUGAAAGCGCUCUGCUGGGCCGACACUGACACUGAGAGACGAAAUCUAGGGGAGCAAAUGGGAUUAGAUACCCCAGUAGUCCCUGUCUCUUAUAC
rnacentral:rRNA from 1 species